rnacentral:rRNA from 1 species
AUUCCAGCUCCAAUAGCGUAUAUUAAAGUUGUUGCAGUUAAAAAGCUCGUAGUUGAACUUUGGGCCCGGUUGGCCGGUCCGAUUUUUUCGUGUACUGGAUUUCCAACGGGGCCUUUCCUUCUGGCUAACCUUGAGUCCUUGUGGCUCUUGGCGAACCAGGACUUUUACUUUGAAAAAAUUAGAGUGUUCAAAGCAGGCGUAUUGCUCGAAUAUAUUAGCAUGGAAUAAUAGAAUAGGACGUUUGGUUCUAUCUUGUUGGUUUCUAGGACCAUCGUAAUGAUUAAUAGGGACGGUCGGGGGCAUCAGUAUUCAAUUGUCAGAGGUGAAAUUCUUGGAUUUAUUGAAGACUAACUACUGCGAAAGCAUUUGCCAAGGACGUUUUCAUUG